ensembl:lncRNA
GAUAUUUUUUGAAUGCCGAUUCACCUACAUAGCUAUGAAGUAAACUCUGUCUUGUGCCUUUCCAAAUGAUCAAGACUUUCAGGAUGCAGUCUCUUCAGAAUCAGCUGUUCCUGCCCAUUUUCCUGCUCAUGUCUGGUGCCGGGCCUAACAGAUGCAGCUUCAGGCUCAGCAGCCAUCUGCCCAUCCUCAUACCUCUGAACCAGCCCUACUCCCUGUCUGUCCAUACUCAUACCCCUGAACCAGCCCUACUCCCUGUCUGUCCAUACUCACACCCCUGAACCAGCCCUACUCCCUGUCUGUCCAUCCCCAUACCCCUGAACCAGCCCUACUCCCUGUCUGUCCAUCCCCAUACCCCUGAACCAGCCCUACUCCCUGUCUGUCCAUCCCCAUACCCCUGAACCAGCCCUACUCCCUGUCUGCCCAUCCCCAUACCCCUGAACCAGC